ACUCAAUAGAUACCCUGGUAGUCCUGGCAGUAAACGGUGCGCGUUUGGUGUGGGAGGAUUCGACCCCUUCUGUGCCGGAGCUAAACGCGUUAAACGCGCCGCCUGGGGAGUACGGUCGCAAGAUUAAAACUCAAAGAAAUUGACGGGGCCCGGCACAAGCGGUGGAGUAUGUGGCUUAAUUCGAUGCAACGCGAAGAACCUUAACCUAGCCUUGACAUGCAUCUCUAAGUCGGUGAAAGCCGGCGACCAUAGCAAUAUGGAAUUUGCACAGGUGCUGCAUGGCUGUCGUCAGCUCGUGUCGUGAGAUGUU
rnacentral:rRNA from 1 species